CUUAACUAUUGGAUUAUUUUCCUUUUUCUUCUACAUUAGAAAGACAGAAGAUUCCAAACCAUUGGAAGGAGAAUGACAAACACAUCUUCCAAAAUAAUGGAAUGAAAAUAUUUUUUCUCUUCCAAGGAACUUUUGAAGUUUAAGUCCUCUCUGUCAUCAAAGUAAAGGCUUGGCCAGUGGUUUUCCAGAGAAUAAAAGGGAAGAAUGCUGCACACUGUCCUCUCUCGCUAGUACUUGUAGAGAGGGGAUGGUGUCCAAAUAAGAGUCGGUGUCCAAGUGUUCCAGAUGAAGAGGAGCAGCUGAGAGGUGGCCCAUGGCUAAGCCAGGAGAAACUGCUGCCCCAGAGGAGCUUCUGUGUGGACAGCUUGAGAGAGACUUAAAGAAAACUUCACUUUUUAAGGUAUUUUUUUUAAAGGAAGCUGAACCUUGAAAUGAGAGGUGGGGGUGGGGAUGGA
rnacentral:lncRNA from 1 species